rnacentral:rRNA from 1 species
GACGAACGCUGGCGGCGUGCCUAAUACAUGCAAGUAGAACGCUGAAGGAGGAGCUUGCUCUUCUGGAUGAGUUGCGAACGGGUGAGUAACGCGUAGGUAACCUGCCUGGUAGCGGGGGAUAACUAUUGGAAACGAUAGCUAAUACCGCAUAACAGUAGAUGUUGCAUGACAUUUGCUUAAAAGGUGCAAUUGCACCACUACCAGAUGGACCUGCGUUGUAUUAGCUAGUUGGGGGGGUAACGGCUCACCAAGGCGACGAUACAUAGCCGGCCUGAGAGGGGGCUCGGCCACGCUGGGACUGGGACACGGCCCAGAAUCCUACGGGAGGCAGCAGUAGGGAAUCUUCGGCAAUGGACGGAAGUCUGACCGAGCAACGCCGCGUGAGUGAAGAAGGUUUUCGGAUCGUAAAGCUCUGUUGUAAGAGAAGAACGAGUGUGAGAGUGGAAAGUUCACACUGUGACGGUAUCUUACCAGAAAGGGACGGCUAACUACGUG